rnacentral:rRNA from 1 species
GGCGUGGCGCAUGCUUAACAUGCAAGUCGACGGUAACAGGGAGCUUGCUCCGCUGACGAGUGGCGAACGGGUGAGUAAUACAUCGGAACGUGCCCAGUAAUGGGGGAUAGCUCGGCGAAAGCCGGAUUAAUACCGCAUACGCCCUGAGGGGGAAAGUGGGGGACCGCAAGGCCUCACGUUAUUGGAGCGGCCGAUGGCUGAUUAGCUAGUUGGUAGGGUAAAGGCCUACCAAGGCGACGAUCAGUAGCUGGUCUGAGAGGACGAUCAGCCACACUGGGACUGAGACACGGCCCAGACUCCUACGGGAGGCAGCAGUGGGGAAUUUUGGACAAUGGGGGAAACCCUGAUCCAGCAAUGCCGCGUGUGCGAAGAAGGCCUUCGGGUUGUAAAGCACUUUUGUCAGGGAAGAAAUCCUUUGGGCUAAUACCCUAGGGGGAUGACGGUACCUGAAGAAUAAGCACCGGCUAACUACGUGCCAGCAGCCGCGGUAAUACGUAGGGUGCAAGCGUUAAUCGGAAUUACUGGGCGUAAAGCGUGCGCAGGCGGUUGUGUAAGACAGGUGUGAAAUCCCCGGGCUUAACCUGGGAAUUGCAUUUGUGACUGCACGACU